AAUAGUUCCAAUUUGGAUUAAUAGGGAAAUUGGUGAAAGUCCAAUACGAUCCCGUCACUGUGAUAAAGGGUUUGUUUUUAUACCACUUAACAUAAAUAUGUUUGGGAAGGGAAAACAAACAAUGCUUUUUAGUCAGGAGACCUGCUUUUAUAAUU
rnacentral:ncRNA from 1 species